rnacentral:rRNA from 1 species
UACGAAGGGGGCUAGCGUUGCUCGGAAUCACUGGGCGUAAAGCGCACGUAGGCGGCUUUUUAAGUCAGGGGUGAAAUCCUGGAGCUCAACUCCAGAACUGCCUUUGAUACUGAGAAGCUUGAGUCCGGAGAGAGGUGAGUGAACUGCGAGUGUAGAGGUGAAAUUCGUAGAUAUUCGCAAGAACACCAGUGGCGAAGGCGGCUCACUGGCCCGGUACUGACGCUGAGGUGCGAAAGCGUGGGGAGCAAACAGG